AUUACUCCUACGGGAGGCAGCAGUGGGGAAUUUUGGACAAUGGGCGCAAGCCUGAUCCAGCCAUGCCGCGUGAGUGAAGAAGGCCUUCGGGUUGUAAAGCUCUUUCGGCCGGGAAGAAAUCGUGGUCUCUAACAUAGGCCAUGGAUGACGGUACCGGACUAAGAAGCACCGGCUAACUACGUGCCAGCAGCCGCGGUAAUAAU
rnacentral:rRNA from 1 species